rnacentral:rRNA from 1 species
CACGGGGGGAGCAAGCGUUGUUCGGAAUCACUGGGCGUAAAGGGCGUGUAGGCGGUUGAGUAAGUGGAAUGUGAAAUCCCUCGGCUUACCCGAGGACCUGCAUCCCAUACUGCUCGACUUGAGUACGGGAGAGGAUGAGGGAAUUCCUGGUGUAGCGGUGAAAUGCGUAGAUAUCAGGAGGAACACCGGUGGCGAAGGCGCUCAUCUGGCCCGAUACUGACGCUGAGGCGCGAAAGCUAGGGUAGCGAACGGG